UACAGAGGUCCCAAGCGUUGUUCGGAUUCAUUGGGCGUAAAGGGUGCGUAGGCGGCGCGGUAAGUCGGGUGUGAAAUCUCGGAGCUUAACUCCGAAACUGCAUUCGAUACUGCCGUGCUUGAGGACUGGAGAGGAGACUGGAAUUUACGGUGUAGCGGUGAAAUGCGUAGAUAUUCGUAAGGAAGACCAGUGGCGAAGGCGGGGUCUCUGGACAGUUCCUGACGCUGAGGCACGAAGGCCAGGGGGAGCAAA
rnacentral:rRNA from 1 species